rnacentral:rRNA from 1 species
GACGAACGCUGGCGGCGUGCUUAACACAUGCAAGUCGAACGGUAAGGCCCUGCUUUUGUGGCGUGCUCGUGUGGCGAAAGGGUGAGUAUCACGUGAGUAACCUCCCCUUGACUUCGGGAUACCUUCUGGAAACUGGGGUUAUUAUCGGGUAGAAGCUCUUGCUGCAUGGUUGGGGUUGUAAAGAUUCGGUGGUUGGGGAUGGACUCGCGGCUUAUCAGCUUGUUGGUGGGGUAGUGGCUUACCAACGCUCUGACGGGUAGCCGGCCUGAGAGGGUGACCGGGCACAUGGGGCCUGAGAUACGGCCCGGACUGCUACGGGAGGCAGCGGUGGGGAAUAUUGCACGAUGGGCGGAGGGCUGGUGCAACAACGCCGCGUGCGGGAUGACGGCCUUCGGGUUGUAAACCGCUUGCGCCUGUGACGAAGCGUGAGUGACGGUAAUGAGUAAGGAAGCACCGGCUAACUACGUG